CCUACGGGUGGCAGCAGUGAGGAAUAUUGGUCAAUGGGCGAGAGCCUGAACCAGCCAAGUAGCGUGCGGGAUGAAGGCCCUUGUGGUCGUAAACCGCUUUUAUCAGUGAAUAAAGUGCAUCACGUGUGGUGUCAUUGCAGGUAGCUGAAGAAAAAGGACCGGCUAAUUCCGUGCCAGCAGCCGCGGUAAUACGGAAGGUCCGGGCGUUAUCCGGAAUUAUUGGGUUUAAAGGGGGCACAGGCGGGAGUAUAAGUCAGCUGUUAAAUAUCAGAGCCCAACUCUGUUAUGCAGUUGAAACUAUAUUUCUUGAGUACGCACAGGGAUGGCGGAAUUCAGGGUGUAGCGGUGAAAUGCUUAGAUAUCCUGAAGAACUCCGAUCGCGAAGGCAGCCAUCCGGAGCGUAACUGACGCUGAGGCUCGAAGGUGCGGGUAUCGAACAGGAGUAGAUACCCCGGUAGUC
rnacentral:rRNA from 1 species